rnacentral:lncRNA from 1 species
AUGCCCAAGUUUUAUUGUGACUACUGUGAAACUUAUCUUACCCACGACUCUCCAUCUGUGAGGAAGACACACUGCAGUGGUUGGAAACCCAAAGAGAAUGUGACAGACUAUCACCAGAAAGGGAUGGAAGAUCAGGCCCAGAGCCUAAUUGACAAGACAACGGCUGCAUUUCAACAAGGGAAGAUCCCUCCGCUCCGUUCUCUGCUCCUCCACCUGCAGGGGCCAUGAUUCCACUGCUCCCCAGUCUCCUGAGUCCUCCUUGGCCUGGCAUGAUGCCUGCAUCCCACAUGGGAGACCCUCUCAUGAUGCCAGUGAUGGGCCCCCUCCUCCUGGGAUGAUGCCUGUGGGACCUGCUCCUGGGAUGCAACCACCCAUGGGAGGCCACAUGCCCAUGAUGCCCUGGCUUCCCAUGAUGAGACCUCCCGCCUGUCCUAUGAUGGUACCCACACAGCCUGGCAUGACUCAGCCAGACAGAUAA